AUACUUCCCUGGCAGGGGAGAUGCCAUGAUCACAAAAGUGGUUUUCCCAGGGCGAAGCUUGUCCCUUGCACUCUGGAUGUGCUGGCCCCUGCGGUUUCCCCAAAUGUGGGAAACCCACCUGCAUAAUUUGUGGUAGUGGGGGUCUGAGUUCGCACUCUCCCCUG